UGGUAAGGUAACGGCUUACCAGAGGCGACGAUCUCUAGCUGUUCUGAGAGGAAGAUCAGCCACACUGGGACUGAGACACGGCCCAGACUCCUACGGGAGGCAGCAGUGGGGAAUAUUGCACAAUGGGGGAAACCCUGAUGCAGCCAUGCCGCGUGUGUGAAGAAGGCCUUCGGGUUGUAAAGCACUUUCAGUUGUGAGGAAAAGUUAGUAGUUAAUACCUGCUAGCCGUGACGUUAACAACAGAAGAAGCACCGGCUAACUCCGUGCCAGCAGCCGCGGUAAUACGGAGGGUGCGAGCGUUAAUCGGAAUUACUGGGCGUAAAGCGCACGCAGGCGGUUUGUUAAGCUAGAUGUGAAAGCCCCGGGCUCAACCUGGGAUGGUCAUUUAGAACUGGCAGACUAGAGUCUUGGAGAGGGGAGUGGAAUUCCAGGUGUAGCGGUGAAAUGCGUAGAUAUCUGGAGG
rnacentral:rRNA from 1 species